GUGGGGAAUCUUCCGCAAUGGACGAAAGUCUGACGGAGCGACGCCGCGUGAGUGAAGAAGGCCUUCGGGUCGUAAAGCUCUGUCAUCAGGGACGAACGGCCGGUGGAGUGGAAAGCCACCGGAUUGACGGUACCUGAGAAGGAAGCCACGGCUAACUACGUGCCAGCAGCCGCGGUAAUACGUAGGUGGCAAGCGUUGUCCGGAAUUAUUGGGCGUAAAGCGCGCGCAGGUGGGAUCUUAAGUCCAUUUUUAAAGUUCGGAGCUCAACUCCGUGAUGGGAUGGAAACUGGGAUUCUUGAGUACCGGAGAGGAAAGCGGAAUGCCCCGUGUAGCGGUGAAAUGCGUAGAUAUGGGGAGGAACACCAGUGGCGAAGGCGGCUUUCUGGACGGUGUCUGACACUGAGGCGCGAAAGCCAGGGGAGCGAACGGGAUUAGAAACCCGUGUAGUCC
rnacentral:rRNA from 1 species